AUAGCCAUAUCACGUUGAAAUAACGGUUCCCGUACAAUCACCGAAGUUAAACAACGUCGAGCCUGGUCAGUACCUAGAUGGGUAACCGCUUGAGAAUACCAGGUAUUGUAA